ACUAACGUACCAGGGACCUUCUAUUGUUCUUGUCCAGAUGGAUUCUACCCAUCAACUGGAAUUGUGUGGACGUUGGGAGUUUCAUUUUGUCAAAGUCUUAAGGAGAUUCUAGAUGAGAUAAAACCCCCAGAGGGACAGACAAAAGAGAGAGCUUUUCUUGGCAACAUGGAUCAGCAACUGAAAGACAAUGAAGGCAUAAUCUUACCAGAACCG